GCGACAAAAAGAUCGACAACCAAUGGAAUGCCUACAACUUGUAAAAGUAUUAUGCAUGACUUCCUACUUGUCCCUAAGCACUUCUCGAACGAAAUAAAACUCGAAGACUCAAGCAGCUUAACGAGCACUACCUCGAAAGCCAAGGACUACCCAGUUGCUAUGCAAUCAGCUAAGUUUGAUAUCCUUCAUCUCAUUUUCAAUGAAGAUUUCGAAAACUAUACAUCACUUGGAUUGACUGUAUAUCUGCAACAACUGUCUACUCUUACUCUCAUUGAAGAUCAUGCCUAAUCAAUGACCUAUCGCAGGAAUUGCGCCCCUCCAGUGACCAACCUUGCACUCCCCAUAGGAGAGGGUAAACUUCGCACUCCGAAUAUCUAGACGUGGAUGGGUCGAGUUACCUUGGUGUAACUAGAGGCAUCCAUAGAAGUAGCCAUAAUGGUAUUUUUCAAGGUUUAGCUAGAUUGAAGAUUUUAGGCAUUUGGC
rnacentral:lncRNA from 1 species